ACGCGAGGAACCUUACCAGGUCUUGACAUCCUCUGACACUCCUAGAGAUAGGACGUUCCCCUUCGGGGGACAGAGUGACAGGUGGUGCAUGGUUGUCGUCAGCUCGUGUCGUGAGAUGUUGGGUUAAGUCCCGCAACGAGCGCAACCCUUGAUCUUAGUUGCCAGCAUUAAGUUGGGCACUCUAAGGUGACUGCCGGUGACAAACCGGAGGAAGGUGGGGAUGACGUCAAAUCAUCAUGCCCCUUAUGACCUGGGCUACACACGUGCUACAAUGGAUGGUACAAAGGGCAGCAAAGCGGUGACGCCUAGCAAAUCCCAUAAAACCAUUCUCAGUUCGGAUUGUAGGCUGCAACUCGCCUACAUGAAGCUGGAAUCGCUAGUAAUCGCGGAUCAGCAUGCCGCGGUGAAUACGUUCCCGGGCCUUGCACACACCGCCCGU
rnacentral:rRNA from 1 species